rnacentral:rRNA from 4 species
AACGCGAAGAACCUUACCUACCCUUGACAUGUCAAGAAUUCUGCAGAGAUGUGGAAGUGCUCGAAAGAGAACUUGAACACAGGUGCUGCAUGGCCGUCGUCAGCUCGUGUCGUGAGAUGUUGGGUUAAGUCCCGCAACGAGCGCAACCCUUGUCAUUAGUUGCUACGAAAGGGCACUCUAAUGAGACUGCCGGUGACAAACCGGAGGAAGGUGGGGAUGACGUCAGGUCCUCAUGGCCCUUAUGGGUAGGGCUACACACGUCAUACAAUGGCCGGUACAGAGGGCUGCCAACCCGCGAGGGGGAGCCAAUCCCAGAAAACCGGUCGUAGUCCGGAUCGCAGUCUGCAACUCGACUGCGUGAAGUCGGAAUCGCUAGUAAUCGCGGAUCAGCUUGCCGCGGUGAAUACGUUCCCGGGUCUUGUACACACCG